AUUGAACGCUGGCGGCAUGCCUUACUCAUGCAAGUCGAACGGCAGCACGGGUGCUUGCACCUGGUGGCGAGUGGCGAACGGGUGAGUAAUACAUCGGAACAUGUCCUGUAGUGGGGGAUAGCCCGGCGAAAGCCGGAUUAAUACCGCAUACGAUCUACGGAUGAAAGCGGGGGACCUUCGGGCCUCGCGCUAUAGGGUUGGCCGAUGGCUGAUUAGCUAGUUGGUGGGGUAUAGGCCUACCAAGGCGACGAGCAGUAGCUGGUCUGAGAGGGCGACCAGCCACACUGGGACUGAGACACGGCCCAGACUCCUACGGGGGGCAGCAGUGGGGAAUUUUGGACAAUGGAGGAAAGCCUGAUCCAGCAAUGCCGCGUGUGUGAAGAAGGCCUUCGGGUUGUAAAGCACUGUUGUCCGGAAAGAAAUACUUGGCCCUAAUACGGUCGGGGGAUGACGGUACCGGAAGAAUAAGCACCGGCUAACUACGUG
rnacentral:rRNA from 1 species